GAGGAUCGAAGGACAAGGAAUCACCCGUGAAUAUUCCCUAUGUUGAAUUUUGCUAAAACAUUUUGGUGCUCUCGAAGAGAGAAUGAUGGAUAAACGCACCGGCAGGUGGUUCGAGAGGUCCCAAGCAGGUAGAGCAAGAACAGGAAGGCAAGGAGAAAGACAGUGUUGGCUAAGCAAAAUCUCACUGCCAGGUGCUUUGGGUCGAGGGGAUUAUGUGCCAACACAGGCUGUCCUACUUUCUGUUGGUUAGGUGUGCGUAG
rnacentral:lncRNA from 1 species